rnacentral:sRNA from 1 species
UUGUGGUGGAUAAAUCCCCUUGCGUUUUGAAUCUGAGUUGACUGCCUUUGGGGGUUCUAGGGUUCUGAGGCUCACUGACAAAUUGCAGAAAUAUUUACGGACUAAAGACGUCACCCAAUCCAGGAAAAAAAUACGUCAUCUUAAAGAAAAUGCAUGAGCUAUCUGUGGUUCUCAGGACCCUGCUUAUAUCAGUAAAAAUGGCUUUGCACUGCAGCCUUCCAGAAAAUUUUGCCUCUUAGAAGUCCUGUUACCAGAAGGCCUCCAGAGGCACCAACACAGACAGAAAUAGCUCCUUAACAUCUUUGUUCCAGAAGAGAAGAAUAAAUAAUGGAGCUUGUAAUCCACAGAGCUCUCUAGUAUGGAGUUACAUGGGAAAAGAUGGUCCAAUCCCAACAGAUGCUUACUGCAGAACUGCGUGGUGUAUUUAGAAUAUUCUACCUCAGAGGUUUCCCAUUUCUUCAACUGAGAGAAAGAGGAUUACAGUUUGAAGACAGAACUCCCAUUAUAAAAUAAACUGUGAAACAAUGCAGAAUUUAAAAGAAUGUAACUGCAGAUUCAGGGGUCAAAGUCCUGAUGCGCAAUGGCAGUGGUACUACCAGGAAACGAUGAAGUCAGACAGAGCAGUGGAAAUGGAGCACCAGUCCUGGAGUUAGAACGUUUACUUACAAAGGAGGAGAGAGUGUAUGUCUCCAACAUGUGAGUGCACACAUGGUGAAAAGGCACUUGCUUGAUCUAGAAGUAGAUCUCACCAGGAAUAAGUUGAGCAGUACCUCGAUCUUUAGCUCCUUGCCUGCUUGAACUGUGAGGAAUAAGUGUUGCAACAACAGUAUCUUCACUAUGGGUCACAAUUCCAUAGCGCAUAAAUGAAUAUAGGGAGAGCCACAGAAACUGCAACAGUUCAAGGUCCCCGACCAUGCGACAGCAAAAUGUAAUUGUCCAGCACAUGUAUGACAAAUCAGGAAUGUUUUGAUAACUCUCAACACCGUUGACAGCCUUCGCCACAGCCUUGGUUCAGACAACAAGACCAGUUCUUGGUCAUGUGGCUCAUCGAUGUAGCAUGAAGAAACACGGCCUGAAGUGCUGGCCCCGGGAGAGAUGCCUCGAGGAUGAAAAAUGUAUACUGUCCUUGCAGAAUACCGGAGUUCAGUUCCCAGCACCCAUGCCAGGUGGUUCACAGCUGUCUGUGACUCCAGUUGUGGGGAAUUUGAAACCUUCUUCUGCUCUAUGAAGGCACUCUGCUCUUGUACAGAAACCUAUUUCUGGAUACAUACUUAUA